UACGUAGGUGGCAAGCGUUGUCCGGAUUUACUGGGCGUAAAGGGCGUGCAGGCGGUUUGUUAAGUUCAGGGUGAAAGCUCCCGGCUCAACUGGGAGAGGUCCUUGGAUACUGGCAGACUUGAGGAGGGUAGAGGAGAGUGGAAUUCCCGGUGUAGUGGUGAUAUGCGUAGAUAUGUGGAGGAACACCGAUGGCGAAGGCAGCCCCCUGGGUCAAAACUGACGCUCAUGCACGAAAGCGUGGGGAGCAAACAGG
rnacentral:rRNA from 1 species